rnacentral:rRNA from 1 species
GAUGAACGCUAGCUACAGGCUUAACACAUGCAAGUCGAGGGGAAACGAUAUUGGAAGCUUGCUUCCGAUAGGCGUCGACCGGCGCACGGGUGAGUAACGCGUAUCCAACCUGCCCACCACUUGGGGAUAACCUUGCGAAAAUAAGACUAAUACCCAAUGAUAUCUCUAGAAGACAUCUGAAGGAGAUUAAAGAUUCAUCGGUGAUGGACGGGGAUGCGUCUGAUUAGCUUGUUGGCGGGGUAACGGCCCACCAAGGCGACGAUCAGUAGGGGUUCUGAGACGAAGGUCCCCCACAUUGGAACUGAGACACGGUCCAAACUCCUACGGGAGGCAGCAGUGAGGAAUAUUGGUUAAUGGGCGAGAGCCUGAACCAGCCAAGUAGCGUGCAGGAUGACGGCCCUAUGGGUUGUAAACUGCUUUUAUAAGGGAAUAAAGUGAGUCUCGUGAGACUUUUUGCAUGUACCUUAUGAAUAAGGACCGGCUAAUUCCGUGCCAGCAGCCGCGGUAA